GUACUUUCCCUUUCUGGUUCUAAUGCUGGAUACCACUCUGAAGUUGAAUAACAAACAGGCAAGAAUUUAAAAAGGGGAAGGAGAGAGAGGAAAGUAAUCCAUUAAAACUGUUACCUGUGUUUCUAACAGUGACUCCCAUGGAAACUCUGCUGUGGGGAUGGAGGGGAGGUUGAUUAAAGAAUGUCUUGGUUUCUAGUGACCCAUGUGUGUAUAUAAGGCUGUUGGCUUCUGUAUUUAACUUACUGAACAAAACUAUUUUCUUGUGUUUUAGAAUAUCUCAUUUGAAACCAUGUAUGAUGUCCUGUCAACAAAACCUGUCCUCAACAAGGUAUUUUAAAUGUUAUAUGUAUAUUUGCCUUUUAGGGAAAAAAUUUGGCCCUACGUUUUAUCUUUCUCUGUUAUCUUUGAUCAGUUUGAGCACAGAAGUUAUGUUCAGCUUAGGACUGAUUUUUUAUUAAAAAAUGUUUUUGUGUGGCUAAAACUGUAUUUUGGAAUACAAGAAAGAAAUUGAUCACUGAGGCUUGAUAGGUCGGAGUAUUGUUUAUAGCUUUAUUUACAUAGCAUUUGAAUUAAGUCUAGCAUUUUACUCUUAUUGGUAUCUAUUAAAAAUCUCACACUAUAUAACUAACACCUAAAUGUCAACAAAACAAAGCCUGAAGUCCAUUUUCAGACAGAGCUCUGUGUCUUGGUGGGUUAGGGUUUCCCUUAAACUUUACUACAUCUGUUUAUCUUUUCCCUACACUAUAGAUUUAAAAAAAUACAAAAAGUUUCCUAAUCAUCCCACCACUCGCUAACAAUCAUUCCCUGAACGUUCUGAAUAUGCCCCCCUAAUUAUCCCAUUUGUUCCUUCUUUUCUUGGUCCUUUUCCACAGCUCUCCCUAAAGUAAACAUGCCACCUUUACCCUGCCAGGACAAAUCCCUCUGGCCUUUAGCAUCCGGGUCAUCCUGGCUCUCACAGGAAGCCUGCCUUCAGUUCACGGGCCCUGCCAUACUUGCGUUUUGCCUAUACCAUCUUUGAGCAAGUCACAAUCUUGUGACUUGUGUUUGGGUGUGUGCCUUGUGAUCUGGGUGCCUGCAGUUUCCCCCGCUGUAUUGGAAAUGCUUUAAGGAUAGGGGUAGCCAAAGCUCCACGGUUUUUACUCCAUAGGACACCGGCAGGCCUCCCAGGACUGCCAGCUGUGCAUCAAGGAGGGUUAGGGCAGUCCUAAAGCAUUGGGGAUGAAGCAAUGUGCUGUCAGGGAUAAGCUCCUAUAAGGAGUUGGAGAUUCUUUCCUGAGCCUGUGUAUAUGCAUUACCUGAAACAGUGAUCCUGUUGAAGUUGUUUGCUUUAAUUAUUUGAUGAGACUAUAGCUAAUUUUAUAUGAUUAUACUAUAGUAAUAUAAAUAUAUACAUUAUGUAACAUGCUUUGCAUAUAUUAACAUAAUUAUAUUUUUUAAUAUUAAAUAACUUCUAAAGCAAAUUCUACAAGUAUAGAAAUGCUAAUAUAUAUCAGAACAUCUCUGAAUUGAAAACGUCCUUAAAGUAAAAAUAACUUUUCUUUCAGCUGACCGUAUUCACAACCUUGAUAGAUGUUACCAAAGGUCAAUUCGAAACUUACCUGCGGGACUGCCCUGACCCUUGUAUAGGGUGGUGAGCACACAUCUGGCCUACAGAAUGCGGCCUCUGAGACAUGAAGACACCAUCUCCAUGUGACCGAACACUGCAGCUGUCUGACCUUCCAAAGACUAAGACUCAGGGCAGGUUCUCUUUGAGUCACAAGCUUGUCUUCCUCCAUCUGUUGACAAUUGACAGACUUUUUUUUUCCCCCCAUCAGUUGAUUUUUCUUAUUUACAGAUACUUCUUUAGGAGAAGUAAAACAAUCAUCUAGAAUUCAUUGAGUUUUGUUUCACUUUGACAUUUGGGGAUCUGGUGGGCAGUCGAACCAUGGUGAGCUCCACCUCCGUGGAAUAAAUGGAGAUUCAGCGUGGGUAUUGAAUCCAGCACAUCUGUGUGAGUAACGGAACAGUAAACACUCCACAUUCUUCAGUUUUUCACUUUUACUUACUAUUUGUAUGUUUUUCUGUAUAACAGCCUUUUCCUUCUGAUUCUAACUACUGUUAAAAUUAAUAUGUCAUUAUCUUUGCUGUUAUUGACGGCAAUAUAAUUUUAUUACAUAUGAUUAGAGGGAUGAGACAGACAUUCACCUGUAUAUUUCUUUUAAUGGGCACAGAAUGGGCCUUUGACUCUAAAUAGCACUUUUUGGGGUUCAAGAAGUAAUCAGUAUGCAAAGCAGUCUUUUAUACAAUAAUUGAAGUGUUCCCUUUUUCAUAAUUACUCUACCUCCCAGUAACCCUAAGGAAGUUGCUAACUUAAAAAACCGCAUCCCAGAUUCUGUGAAUUUAGUACAUAAACAAGUCAAAGACUUGUGGAAAAUAGGAAGUGAACUCAUAUUUUAAAUUCUCAUAAGUAGCAUUCAUGUAAUAAACAGGUUUUUAGUUUGUUCUUCAGAUUGAUAGGUAGUUUUAAAGAAAUUUUAGUAGUUACUAAAAUUAUGUUACUUUAUUUUUCAGAAAUCAAACUACUUAUGAAAAUUACUAAUAGAACUUGUUAACCUUUCUAACCUUCACGAUUAACUGUGAAAUGUAUGCCAUUUGUGCAAGACCAUGUGUCCACUUCAUUUUGUAUAAUCACAGUUGUGUUCCUGACACUCAAUAAACAGUCAUUGGAA
rnacentral:sRNA from 1 species